UGGAGGAAGUGAAAGCAACUGCGAUGGCUUCAGUAACGGCGAGUGAAGCAGCCACACCAGUGGCUCAGCCCGAAAGGUGGUCCAAAACACCUCACCUCACACCCAAGGUGUGCAGGGUGGUGAGCGGCUCUCAUGGAUUCCUCCAAUGCUGUGGGCUAUGGUGGCCAUGGCUUCUCAAUGGGUGUGGCCCAGGCACCAGGAAGACCUCUGGAAUGGGGCGCGAGACAGGGACAAGGCCCCUUGCGUGACUCAGUGUUGUGCCCUGGGCUCGCCCUUGAUGGAGCUGUGGUCAACCCCGAGUAGAAUGGCUUGAGACUGCAGUUUGAACCGAGGGGUGUAUCCCCCUCAAGGCUUGAUAUCAGCCUGGAACCGAUAGUGCAGAAGUAGUGUGAACGAAGGAUGCAAAGCACUCAGCGAAGAGGGUUCAAAGUCCCUGAAGCCUCGGCAGGCAGAGCGGUGUGUGGUGCUGUGGAUACAACCUUCAGAGAGGUGCUCUCACGACCAAGCUGCUUCUGGUGAAGCUCUCUCUUGGGAUUCCAUCCAAGUGGCCUCAGACCAGCCCUGGGCUGGCUUCAGAGCUGUCUCCUCUCUGGGGACAAUGACCGCAGCAGUCGCAAGGUGACACCCUGCUUGACAGGGUCUGAGGUUACAUCUGGUGCAACUGGAGAUUGUGUGGCAGAUUGCCCAUCUCAAGCUGGAACCAAAGGGCUAAGCAUGGCCAACAGAAGUGUGUGACCCUCAUCAGGGCCAAGGCCUCUCGGCAAAAGGCAAACCCAGUUGUCUUCGGACACACUGGUCACUGAGACUCCAGCCUGGUGCUCUGGAGUCUGGUGGCUGGGUCGAGACUGCAUGGCUCUCUUGGGUCCAUGGUCUCUCCCGGCUGCUGGCUCCCCAGUGGGGGUCCAGUGUGCUGCACUCAGUGGGCUUGGACUACCAGUGCCACCCACUGCCCGUCUUGAAACACGGACCAAGGAGUCUUUGGAGCUGGCCAGUUGGCACAGUGGGCAGCAAGUGUGAAUUGAAAGCUGAAGUGUGUGGUGAAGGCAAUGAAGCCACGGGCUUCCAGAUGGGUCUUGAAUCGCUGCUUGGAACUGCCAGACCCGAUGUCCAGUGGACUGGGUUCUGAGUGCAUGCCAGGUCCAAGGGACCCGAAAGGUGGUGAACUAUACCGUGCCACAGUGAAGCCAUGGGAAACUGUGGUGGAAGCUGGUCGCUGUUCUGACGUGCAAAUCGCGUAGCCCAAGCGCGGCAUAGGGGUGAAAGGCCAAUCGAACCACCUAGUAGCUGGUUUCCUCCGAAGUUUCCCUCAGGAUAGCUGGGCUGAGUGGACCAGCCACAGGCAAGCCAUGUGAUUUCGUCUGGUAAAGCAACGAUGAGAGGUCUCUUGUGGGAGCUUCAUGCUCCUACACCUAUUCUCGAACUGUGAACAGGCGCGGCUUCAAGCACGCUGCUUGAUCUAUGGGCAAAGUGAGGCUGCCUCUCGGCAGUGCUCAAUUGGCCUCUGAGCGUGUUUCAAACAGCUGGAAGUUUGGCACAGAGAGUGUUGCUGCUGCUCUGUGUGUGGUGAGCUCUCGCUCCAACCACAGAAAGGCACAACAAGGCUCAACCAAGAUGCUCCUCCUCUGUGGGGUUGCUGAGUGUUCUGUCCCAAAGUCUUCUGAUGUGGAACCAUCGUGAGCCCAUGUGGACCACKACUGGUAAGCAGUGCUGGUGAUGCGGGAUGCUCCRAGAGUGUGGCUUAUGGUGCCAGAGUGCUGGCUCAAACUCAGAUCCCCCAAAGGAUGUUGCUUGCUCUGGAUAGCAGGACGGUGGCCAUGAAGGCUGGAACCCGCUGAGGAGUGCGUAACAGCUCACCUGCCGAAGCGUGCAGCUCCGAAAAUGGAUGGUGCCCAAGCCAGUUGAAUGGUGACCCACAGCCCACCAAUGUCGUGGUGCUCACUUUGUUGGGGCCAAGCAGAGCGUCAUUGUGUAGGAUGGACAUGGAAGACCUGUGCAGUGAAGGCUGCUGGGCUCAAGCCUGGCUCGAGCGUCUUCUGGUGCAGAUCUUGGUUGCAGUAGCAAGUACUCCACUGAGCAAAGGUGCCCUGCUCAAACAAGGCACAAGCCAAGGCAGCAAGGCUGUCUGCAGUUGAGGACUGGAGUGGAGCAGGUUUCCACACCAAACAGCCGUUGAAUGUGGGUCAGCCGACCGUGAGCCAAGUGGUACGUUCACUGAACAACCAAAGCUGCACUGAUGGCGCAAGCCUUGUGGCCUUGAGAGGAGGUGCACUGCCACCCUCCAAGCAGGGUGUGGCCUUCCUCCUCAAGCCCCUGGCCCAAGCCACAGGCAGGAGUGGCAAACAGGCAAGCAUUGCAACAUUCUGCUGCGAUGGGUUUGGGGUGCCUAGCGCUGGCAACAGCCCUUGGCAAAGCAAGCCUCAAGCAGGCUUCGGGGUGUUGGUACCCCCGUGGAGUUGUCGUUUCCACCUGAUGAGAGCCAGAAGGCUAUCGCAUUGCAUGUCACCAUGGUGACAUAUGUCUUCCGCUCAGCAAGGCAGUGCAGCCUCUGCAUUGGUGGUGUUCAAAGCCUCAAACAGAGCCUCUUGUGCAACGAGAGAGCCACGAGUCAUGAGUGGUGGCCAUCAGCUCCAAUGAAAGGCAUGUGGGCCAUUGAGCCCUGAUGACCCUUGUCAUCGUACUGCAUAACCGCAGCCGGUCUCCUCGAUUGAAAGUCGCUUGUCCACGGACGCAAUGCAGCCAAGGGAAGUCGGCAAACUAGCUGUGCACCUUCGGAAGAUGCAGUGGCUCCAGAAGCCAGGUCCACGGGGCCCAGCAAGGGCAGUGUCCAGUGACCUUGAUGGCUGGCCUGAGUAUCUGUGUGGGCACACCCCACACUUCGGCUUGGGCUUGUCUGUUGAGGUUGGCUCAGCCCUCUGUUGGGGGUCAGCUGUCUGCCUCGUGUGGAUGGCUGCUCCAUCCUGUGGACUCACUGAGUGGCUCACAUGGAACUGUUGCUGUAGCAAGGAAUCUGACUGUUUAAUUGAAACCCAGCUUUGUGAUGGGAUCAGCUGGCUGAUGCCACGAGGUGACUUCUGCCCAGUGCUCUGAUUGUCAACCUGAAGAGAUUCAGCCAAGCGCGGGUCAACGGCGGGAGUAACUAUGACUCUCUUGAGGUAGCCAAAUGCCUCGUCAACCAAUUAUUGACGCGCAUGAAUGGAUCAACGAGAUUCCUGCUGUCCCUGGUUGCUGUCUGGUGAACCAACAGCCAAGGGAACGGGCUUGGAAGCGUCAGCGGGGAAAGAAGAGCCUGUUGAGA
rnacentral:rRNA from 1 species